rnacentral:rRNA from 1 species
AACCGGAUUAGAUACCCUGGUAGUUCCACGCCGUAAAACGAUGUCGACUUGGAGGUUGUUCCCUUGAGGAGUGGCUUCCGGAGCUAACGCGUUAAGUCGACCGCCUGGGGAGUACGGCCGCAAGGUUAAAACUCAAAUGAAUUGACGGGGGCCCGCACAAGCGGUGGAGCAUGUGGUUUAAUUCGAUGCAACGCGAAGAACCUUACCUACUCUUGGCAUCCAGCGAACUUAGCAGAGAUGCUUUGGUGCCUUCGGGAACCGUGAGACAGGUGCUGCAUGGCUGUCGUCAGCUCGUGUUGUGAAAUGUUGGGUUAAGUCCCGCAACGAGCGCAACCCUUAUCCUUUGUUGCCAGCGAUUCGGUCGGGAACUCAAAGGAGACUGCCGGUGAUAAACCGGAGGAAGGUGGGGAUGACGUCAAGUCAUCAUGGCCCUUACGAGCAGGGCUACACACGUGCUACAAUGGCGCAUACAAAGAGAAGCGACCUCGCGAGAGCAAGCGGACCUCACAAAGUGCGUCGUAGUCCGGAUCGGAGU